rnacentral:rRNA from 1 species
AAAUUGAAGAGUUUGAUCAUGGCUCAGAUUGAACGCUGGCGGCAGGCCUAACACAUGCAAGUCGAACGGUAACAGGAAGCAGCUUGCUGCUUUGCUGACGAGUGGCGGACGGGUGAGUAAUGUCUGGGAAACUGCCUGAUGGAGGGGGAUAACUACUGGAAACGGUAGCUAAUACCGCAUAACGUCGCAAGACCAAAGAGGGGGACCUUCGGGCCUCUUGCCAUCGGAUGUGCCCAGAUGGGAUUAGCUAGUAGGUGGGGUAAAGGCUCACCUAGGCGACGAUCCCUAGCUGGUCUGAGAGGAUGACCAGCCACACUGGAACUGAGACACGGUCCAGACUCCUACGGGAGGCAGCAGUGGGGAAUAUUGCACAAUGGGCGCAAGCCUGAUGCAGCCAUG